GGGGUGAUAGCAGUUAUCCCUCAAGAAGAUAAGUACGUACGGCAGAUCCAAGAGUAGAUAGUGAGCUCCAUUUCAUCCUCACCAAACACGUCGCUUUUAUAGGUUACCCGGUAAAAUUUGUUCUCUGAAAAUCGCAUCAAAACUGACAAAUGUCAAGAUCAGAUCACGAACGGACGUUGGAUAUAGUCACACACACCCCAGAGGAUUGGAUUCAAUCAGAACUAGUGAAAGCUUAACUCUUCAGGCACAAAAGUUUACCCACUUUGCUCUUGCCUUAAUGGCGGACAUAACGAGAACUCUCCAACCUAUCUCUAAUUUCUCCUUUCUAUGCCUUCUUAAACUUAUCAUUUUCUUUUAACUCUCUCUGAUGGCUUCUUUCAUCUCCCUUUCUUCUCUUUAGUACUUGGUUUUCCUUUCCUUUGCUUUCUGCUUGUUGGUUUGUGUCUUUUGAGCUUGUGAUUUUGAGGUCCCGAUGACUGUUUCCAUGGCUUCAGCUUCUCUGCAUUUGGCUUCUCAGUUGACUUGUUGUAACAAGUUUAAAGCUUUGGAUUAUCCCGAGUUUAUAGUUUCUUGUUUUACCCGUUUUGGUGAUAGGCCUCUUUGCAGUUCUAUUGGGAGUAUCAGGAGAUUGACGUCUUCGGUUACCACAAUAGUUCCACAAGCGUCAGUCACAGCUCUCGAGGUGUGGUUGACUUCUGUUUGUUACUUACUGGUUUUGCAUGCUAACUACCAACUUCCCCUAUUUCCCCGUGGUUGUUGCAUGUUGUUAUUGAAUUUAAGCAGGAUGGAACUAACAGCGGCACUGACACAAUUCCAACUCCUAUGGUCAUAAUAGAUCUAGAUUCUGAUCCGGAUGCGACAGUAGUUGAGAUAACUUUUGGUGACCGUCUUGGGGCUCUUCUUGAUACUGUACGAUGCCGUUUACUUGCCUGCGUAGAUAUUCUUUAUCUCUAGUGAUUCUUAACCUUGCAGAAUGAGAAUCUUCUGCUUUUGUUCUAUAUAAUUUAUAGUAUCUUAUUAUUUAUAUACAUUAUUGACACUUGGAAAAUGGGCUUCAUACGAAUUCUCUUGAAGACCUUGGGCUGAAUGUCGUUAAGGCAAAUGUCUAUCUGGAUUCCUCUGGAAAGCACAACAAAUUUGCCAUCACUAAAGUUUCUACUGGUAGGAAAGUUGAUGAUCCGGAGAUGCUUGAGGCAAUUCGUUUGACAAUUAUAAACAAUCUGCUUCAGUAUCACCCGGUAACCUAUUUUUUGUGCUUGAGAUAUUACCGGGUGAAACUCCAUGUGAAGGACUUGCCUAACUGAAAUUUACUGAGUGUGAAUUGGUGGUACCAACAAUCAAGUUCCCAGUUAGCAGUGGGUGUAGCCUUUGGCGUUGAUCCACAAAAAGAGCAGGUCUUUUCAAUCUCCCUAAUAGAACAUCUGCUUGCUGAACAAAGGGGCUGUAUCUGGAUGUUUUUAGGUCAAUAGUGCUUGAAUUUUAUGUGUUUUCUUUUGCUUUUGAUUGAAAUUGGUGCCAUGUAUGAAUGUUGGCACAGCCAGUAGAUUAUUGAGGGGAGCAUUAUGUCCCACCAAUCUUGGCUUACAUUUUGCUUUGUUGGAACUUUUUAAGGUUGAUGUGGACAUAGCAGCCCACGUAAAUGUCUCUGAUGAUGGUCCUGAUCGAAGGUAAUGGAUGAUUUCGACUUAUACUCAAUGUCGGCGCUUUUUAUCCCACGAAACAUUGGCCUUAUUACAAUAGUUGUCAAGACCAUAGCCCAACCUAGCAAUUCCUCUGUUAAUAAUCUUGCUUUAUGUGGAGACAGUGGAUCGCCCUGGAUUAUUGGUUGAUCUUGUAAAGAUUAUCACUGACAUCAAUGUUGCUGUUGAAUCGGGAGAGUUUGAUACUGAGGGGCUAUCGGCUAAGGCAAAGUUUCAUGUCAACUACAAGGGCCGAGCCCUCAUUAAGCCUCUCCAACAGGUUCUUGCAAAUUGUUUGCGAUAUUUUUUUAGGUGACCAACAACCGAGGAGGCAAGUUUUUGAGCUGUUUAUGAUCAAAUUCACCAUUCUAGACUCAAUUGAUUAUUUACUCCCAAUAAACAUGCACAGAGAAGAAUAAAAUGUUGUCACCGUAACCCUUGUAUAACCGAUACUUAUGCACAAUAAAUUAUCGAUUUCUUAUUAUCGACGGUAGAAGAAUGGUGGUGACGGAAACUGAUGUUUAUAUUGAAAAUUCUGCAAUGGAAUGAAUUCACGUCUCCCUUCAAUCAUGGUGCACCGCAUAUGCUUGCUCCUGGGGAUGCUUUCUCUAGUUUUAUUAGGCUGUUGAUACAGUUAAACAGACUGAAAUACGUCCAAAUUACAGAAAACAGACUGAAAUACACACAUUUCAACAAGAAGUUAACAGGUAUAUAUGGUACCAAGCAUGUUUGAUGCCAUAAGAGAGAGACUCAAAGAAAAUUAAAGGUGAAGAGUGGAUGAACAGAAUAAUGCAUAUUGAUAAUGAAAACAAGAAAAGAAUGUGAACGGAAUCACAAGAAUACAAAGAUAAAUAAAUAAGAACAAAAGAAGGCCAUACCCGAUGAUAAAACUAGAACCAAAAUAAAUAAUGAAACAACAGAAAAUGACGUGAGGCGUGAAGCAGGCUUUGCGAAGCACAAUCUACCUUGGGAAGAGAGAAAAGGAUAACACUCUUUCCUUUAUAUAACCCGGCCAUUGAUCCAGUGCUAAUCCAUCCUCAUUCUUUGGAGAAUCAAAGUCACACAGGGGAAGGAGAUGACAGGCUUACUUGCAAGAGGAACUCCCACUUUUAAUUCCAUGUUUUUCAAGCCAAUGCUCCGAAAAGGCUACCACAAAACAGGAAUAUCGGCCGAUACAAUACGGGAGAGCAGUGUGAAAGUGAACCCGGAAGAGGGCCUUUCUACAAAAGGCCAAAGCCUCCAAAAUGGGAAUUGCAGCAGCAAUUGGGUGCCUCAUGAAAAGACUGGGAUUUAUUAUCCCAAAGGCCAUGAAAAAGUUUUGCAAGAUGUUCCUCCUGGAGCUGCCAGAGAUAUUAUUGGAGUUAACUGGUUCUCUGAUAAUUAAUUAAGCAUCUCUUCUUCCUAUUUCUAUUACUAUUAUUAAACUAUGCUUAAGCCCUCUCUCUCUCUAUAUAUAUUCUGUGUUUUUGUAUUUUUAUUCAAUUAUGAACUUGAUUGUGCCUGUGGGAUGUCUUAUUGUAUCAUGAUUUCGAAAAGGGUAAAUAACAUUGUCCCACCAAAAGUUUGGUCA